rnacentral:sRNA from 1 species
GAAAUGCACUAAAUAUUCUAAAUGUUUCUGCUGCAUUUUGGACUUUUCUGUUUUCUACAUUUACCCUCUUCAGCUCUGUUAGAACAAGGCAAUAAACUGCGUAAUGCCAUGGUGAUUUCUGCAAUGAAAUCAAGCCCAGAGACCAGCAUGUUGUUGGACCAAGUUCAUCCUCCUAUUGAUGAAGAUUCUCUUAGAGCAUCAACACAAAUCAGAGCCUUGUCUAGGAAUCAGUUUAAAGACCACAUUGAAGAUCACCUCCUCCCUUCAACUGAGAAUGCAUUUUGGAGACAUGACACAAAAGCUGAUACCAGAGCUAUACAGCUGCUAUUAGGCAG